ensembl:lncRNA
CCGACUGGAAGGAAGACUGAUGCUGGAUGAAGAACGGAGGGGACCCGGGGCUUUUAUACCGACGCGCUUUGGCAGCGACUCAGAGUUUGGUCUGUUGCUCGCUGCUGCUGCAGCUUCUCCUCGUCCUUCAUCAUCAGACACAAAAUCCCGAGAAGCUGCUGAGAGCAGAACGUUCCGGCUUGGAGGACCAAAGGCUCAUUCACUGCACUUCCGAACAAAAAAAUAAAUAAAACGGCAACAUGGGCAGCUCCUCUCAGAAGACCGGUGGUGAUACUUUGACUCCGAGCUUCCCAUGAGACCCCCUUCCCUCCCUCGUGCCCUCGGGAGCAGCCAGACCCUGCAGCAGGAACUCGGUAGCCCCACAACCCUCAUGGGAAAUGAAGGGAGGCCGGGUUAAUAGCCAUAUUGACAAGCAGGGUGGAGGGAGGGGGGGUCUCAUGCAUGAUCAGGAAGCGCCCA